rnacentral:rRNA from 1 species
AUACGAACCGGACAAACGUUAUUCGGAAUUAUUGGGCUUAAAGGGUACGUAGGCGGCGCGGUAAGUGAGGUGUGAAAGCCCACGGCUCAACCGUGGAAUUGCGCUUCAUACUGCCGUGCUAGAGGGAGACAGAGGUAAGCGGAACUGAUGGUGGAGCGGUGAAAUGCGUUGAUAUUAUCAGGAACACCGGUGGCGAAAGCGGCUUACUGGGUCUCUUCUGACGCUGAGGCACGAAAGCUAGGGUAGCGAACGGGAUUAGAAACCCCAGUAGUCC